GACAAACGCUGGCGGGGUGCAUGAGACAUGCAAGUCGCACGGGGUUGAUCGGGCUUGCUCGAUCAACCUAGUGGCGAACGGCUGAGUAACGCGUAGGUGACCUACCCGGAAGUGGGGAAUAACUGCCCGAAAGGGUGGCUAAUACCGCAUGUGGUCGGCGAAUCAGAUCGCCGUCCAAAGCCGAAAGGCGCUUCCGGAGGGGCCUGCGUCCGAUUAGCUAGUUGGCGGGGUAACGGCUCACCAAGGCGACGAUCGGUAGCUGGUCUGAGAGGAUGAUCAGCCAGACUGGGACUGAGAACGGCCCAGACUCCUACGGGAGGCAGCAGUCGGGAAUUUUUGCCCAAUGGACGAAAGUCUGAGGCAGCAACUCCGCGUGAGGGAUGAAGGCCU
rnacentral:rRNA from 1 species